UACGUAGGGCGCAAGCGUUGUCCGGAAUUAUUGGGCGUAAAGAGCUCGUAGGCGGCUUGUCACGUCGGAUGUGAAAACCCGCGGCUCAACCGCGGGCCUGCAGUCGAUACGGGCAGGCUAGAGUUCGGUAGGGGAGACUGGAAUUCCUGGUGUAGCGGUGAAAUGCGCAGAUAUCAGGAGGAACACCGAUGGCGAAGGCAGGUCUCUGGGCCGAUACUGACGCUGAGGAGCGAAAGCGUGGGGAGCGAACAGG
rnacentral:rRNA from 1 species